UCCAGCAUCUAUACCAUAUAUAGAAAACCUCCACACCUCCUUAGACUCCUAUAUAAGCUGACUGUUGACAAGAAUCUUGAAGAAUCAUCUUUUACAUCUUGGUUAUUUCUGAAGACGGUGUGGAAGAGCCACAGGUGACAACAAUACAAUACAGAGGGACUUUGCAGGGGAUUCUUGAAAAUAGAUUAGCUUCACACAGACGUCUUCUAACUGUCACAGUACUUACAGCUCUCCCGUUAGCUGAUUUUCCUCCUGGAUAGCUCUAAACCCACUCGCUGGCAUCCAAUGGUGGUGUAUACACAUCUAUGGACAGGUUCUGUAUACUCACCAUUGGGCCAAGCCGGGCAGAAGAGGAGAAAAGGCUCUACUGGUCAGUCUGUGGACAAUAUCCCUUGUCAUUUCUGGACCGUAUUCGUUAAUGUAUGAUGCUGGAGAAAAAGGAUGUGAG